CCUACGGGAGGCAGCAGUGGGGAAUAUUGGGCAAUGGAGGAAACUCUGACCCAGCGACGCCGCGUGCGGGAUGAAGGCCUUCGGGUUGUAAACCGCUUUCAGCAGGGGAGAAGCGAAAGUGACGGUACCUGCAGAAGAAGCACCGGCUAACUAUGUGCCAGCAGCCGCGGUAAUACAUAGGGUGCGAGCGUUGUCCGGAAUUAUUGGGCGUAAAGAGCUCGUAGGUGGUUCGUCACGUCGGAUGUGAAAAUCUGGGGCUUAACCCCAGACCUGCAUUCGAUACGGGCGAGCUUGAGUAUGGUAGGGGAGUCUGGAAUUCCUGGUGUAGCGGUGGAAUGCGCAGAUAUCAGGAGGAACACCAAUGGCGAAGGCAGGACUCUGGGCCAUUACUGACACUGAGGAGCGAAAGCGUGGGGAGCGAACAGGAUUAGAUACCCUGGUAGUCCACGACCGUAACGGUACGGCGACUAGUUGUGGGUACCGUUACCGUACGGUCGUCUGCGACGCAGCUACGCAUAGUCGCCCGCCGCGGGAGGUACGAGUCGCGAGAUAAACUACAAUAGAAGUUAGACGGCGUGAGACGUGCCGACGGACGACGACGAGGGAGGUUAGG
rnacentral:rRNA from 1 species